rnacentral:rRNA from 1 species
UAGAUACCCCACUAUGCUUAGCCCUAAACCUAGAUAGUUAGCUCAAACAAAACUAUCCGCCAGAGAACUACUAGCAACAGCUUAAAACUCAAAGGACUUGGCGGUGCUUUAUAUCCCUCUAGAGGAGCCUGUUCUAUAAUCGAUAAACCCCGAUAAACCUCACCAUCUCUUGCUAAUUCAGCCUAUAUACCGCCAUCUUCAGC